CUUUGUGGUUCGGCCUUAGCAAUUUAAAACCAUUGUUGAAUAAUCCCUGGAAUGUAAGGGGUUAAAUAUUCGGUCAACAUGCAUAUCUGUUUUGUAUGGAGAAUGCUGGUGACCGAAAAUGUUUUUUCACUGUUGGUGGCACUUUUUGCACUGCUUGCUUGAGUGCGCAAGUUCCACUUCUUGCUACUGGGGAUCAGGGAAAUGUGCGAUUGGUUAGAUCAGGUAUGACGCAUCAUCAUCUGGCGCGAGGUUGAAGUGUACAGUCAGUGCUUAGUGCGUCGUGCAUCUCAUUCUUGGGCAGGAUUAUGUUGGCGACAGUCAGACACGAGCCUAUGCUCAGGCAGCGCACAAAGCAGCUUCUGAACCAUUGAAACGGUAAGUUCUGUUGAUUAUCCUUCAAUUAGCCUACAUGUAACCUCAGCACUGUUAAUAUAUUACUGUGGUAAAUUUUAAUUGGGGAUUUUUCGUCAAAAUUCAGGCGGACCAUCAACCAGAGGCGAACUAAGCAUAACGGCAUCCUAUUCAGCCAAACGGUUGAUGGAUGAUGGACAAUGACAGGUUUCAGAUCGAAUGUUGCCUGGACUACUGAUGACCAUUCCAUGGCCUUCUGGCCAUCUUAUGCAGAUCCCAAUCAAAAUGGCAUUACUGAUGCAUGAAGUCCUUGGACCAUCGUGGACCACCCACACCAUUGUAAUUUUGGGCACUGCAGGACGUACCUAAGGCGUGGGACUAGUAGAACAUAAACGGCACCAACUACGUCAGCACAUCCCCCAGUAUUGUGGCUCCUGCUGGGCAAACGGCAGCAGCAGUGCCAUGGUGCUGGUCUUCGCUGGAUUUGCCACGCUUUGUUUUUUACUCACCUAAGACAGUAAUUGCUCCAUAUCUGAUGUCAUUGGUAUCAAAACAUAUUUUUGGCGACAUCUGACAAGUGAUACAUUUGAUCUGUAUUUUCUAGAUGACUGGCUUUAUAAAAUCCAAUGUCCUUUGAGUCCAUGGGGCUGAAGAACAGUGACUAGUUUCAAAAACCUCCUAAAAAGUUAUGUACGUUUUUUUUGUGUUCCCUCAUCGCGAGUGAGGCAAGGUGGCAAUUGUUG